rnacentral:sRNA from 1 species
UUCCUAAUUAACUGCCUUCUCAUCUGUGCACAUUGCUAUUCAGGGCUACCCCUGCUCAUUAGCCUUGCAUCCAGAUAAAGGCUGUGUGUGCAUGCCAGACAUUCCACCCACCCAGCCAGGGAGUAGGAUCCCGAAUGCGCAGGCCAAGUCUCUGCGAGCUGAGACUAGUUGGGAGGAGACACAAAGCUUCUAAAAGGGCAGCAAUCGAUUUUCUCACCCAAUGGUUAAAUCAACUUGUUUCAGAAUGUAUCUGUUGAAACUCAGAUUCUUCAUUGCUCAUGCUAUCCCAGUGAACUGAAAGCCACACCUAGUUUAGAAUUUUGAAAGUUACAAUUGCUCUCUGCUCCCAGACCCUGUGAGAGAGAGACCCAACC